ensembl:lncRNA
GGGAUGUAGAUCCGAGAAAGAGGCGUAAUCUGUCUCUCCGAGCCGAAAUGUAUCACUGAUGCAAGAAAAAAAACAAAAAGAUUUAUGGAUGGGUGAACCGCUGAAUGGGGGAGAUAGGGGGAGAAGCUAUUACCAAGGAGGGAGGCAAAAGCACCGAGGGUCCCUGCUUUGCUUGGAGAAGACGUAUCAACGCCACUCGCAUUCUGCCCCACGCCGGCGCUCACAGAGUGCUUUAGGUCACUCUUUCCUAAUUUGGAUCAAUUAUCCCACUUCCCUGCUCUGACACAGCGUUUCUCAUUCAGCAUAAUGCCCGGUCUCACACUCGCGUCAGGGGGACUGAAUGUUCUCUGCUGUCCGAGGCCCAUCCGAAAUUCAAAUAUUGCCUCAUUGCAGAGUCUCGAUAAUAUUGACUUUCACUUAGUCUGCAGAGGCGGCGGGGAUAUAUUUGGAACAGGGUUGUGGGGGUUUUCUUACAGAAUGUGUAAUUUUUUUGAUGCUGAAGGUAAUGCUGGGGUCUGUAAAUCCCCUGUGAAUUCCAGCCAAACAUCAUUUCAGCCAGAGUCUAAGAUGAAGCACUUGUUUUUGUUAUCAAUUAGACAUUAAUGUUUGCUAAUGUGACUGCUUUUUAAUUAGCACAGUUAUACCUAAUGUGAAAAAGCUUAAAUAGAUUAAUGUCACACUUUACUCAAUAUAGCCGACAUUCCUAAACUGCAACUCCUUAAUGGAUUAAACCCAGAUUUCAAUAUUUAUUUUGUGGUUUUAUCUGCAUAAACCGCAUCGAGUGUCCUCAACAAGAAAGUGAAGUGGCGCCUGCAGCUGCGUCAGCGGCCCAGCAGGUGGAGCGGUACAUCUCUGAGAAGUCUCUGUCAUCUUCAGCGCCAAUGUCCACAGAAAUCCUGUUAAUUUGCCAAAUAAUGGGGGAAUAUGUAGAAUAUUGACUGUAGUAUUUCUGGUCUAAUUUGUUUUAUUUUAUGAAAUACUAAUUACUGUUACUUUUAAUACGUUUGUCUUUUAAUGCCAUUACCGGUUUGUCCAAUUAACA